UACGUAGGGGGCAAGCGUUGUCCGGAUUCAUUGGGCGUAAAGAGCGUGUAGGCGGCCAGGUAGGUCGGUUGUGAAAACUGGAGGCUCAACCUUCAGAGGUCGACCGAAACCAUCUGGCUAGAGUCCGGAAGAGGAGAAUGGAAUUCCUGGUGUAGCGGUGAAAUGCGCAGAUAUCAGGAAGAACACCCGUGGCUAAGGCGGUUCUCUAGUACGGUACUGACGCUGAGACGCGAAAGCGUGGGGAGCGAACAGG
rnacentral:rRNA from 1 species